rnacentral:rRNA from 1 species
CCAAGGCGACGAUCAGUAGCCGGCCUGAGAGGGCGGACGGCCACACUGGGACUGAGACACGGCCCAGACUCCUACGGGAGGCAGCAGUGGGGAAUUGUUCGCAAUGGGCGCAAGCCUGACGACGCAACGCCGCGUGGGGGAUGACGGUCUUCGGAUUGUAAACCCCUGUCGAGCGGGACGAAUGGCCCGCGACCUAACACGUCGUGGGAGUGACGUUACCGCUAAAGGAAGCCACGGCUAACUCUGUGCCAGCAGCCGCGGUAAUACAGAGGUGGCAAGCGUUGUUCGGAAUUACUGGGCGUAAAGGGCGCGUAGGCGGCCUGCUAAGUCAGACGUGAAAUCCCCCGGCUCAACCUGGGAACUGCGUCUGAUACUGGCAGGCUUGAAUGCGGGAGAGGGAUGCAGAAUUCCAGGUGUAGCGGUGAAAUGCGUAGAUAUCUGGAGGAAUACCGGUGGCGAAGGCGGCAUCCUGGACCGACAUUUGACGCUGAGGCGCGAAAGCUAGGGUAGCAAACGGGAUUAGAUACCCCGGUAGUCCUAGCCCUAAACGAUGAGUGCUUGGUGUGGCGGGUAUCGAUCCCUGCCGUGCCGAAGCUAACGCAUUAAGCACUCCGCCUGGGGAGUACGGUCGCAAGGCUGAAACUCAAAGGAUUUGACGGGGGCCCGCACAAGCGGUGGAGCAUGUGUUUCAAUUCGACGCACGCCGAAAGAGCCUUACCUGGGCUCGAAAUGAGAUGACAUCCGGGCGAAAGCCCGGCUUCCGCCAGGACGUUUGUUAUAGGUGCUGCAUGGCUGUCGUCGCCUCGUGU